rnacentral:rRNA from 1 species
GGUGGUGCGUGGUUGUCGUCAGCUCGUGUCGUGAGAUGUUGGGUUAAGUCCCGCAACGAGCGCAACCCUUAUUCUUAGUUGCCAUCAUUUAGUUGGGCACCCUAAGGAGACUGCCGGUGACAAACCGGAGGAAGGUGGGGAUGACGUCAAAUCAUCAUGCCCCUUAUGACCUGGGCUACACACGUGCUACAAUGGACGAUACAAAGAGUCGCAAACUCGCGAGGGUAAGCUAAUCUCAUAAAAUCGUUCUCAGUUCGGAUUGUAGGCUGCAACUCGCCUGCAUGAAGCCGGAAUCGCUAGUAAUCGCGGAUCAGCAUGCCGCGGUGAAUACGUUCCCGGGUCUUGUACACAC